GACGAACGCUGGCGGCGUGCUUAACACAUGCCAGUCGAACGGAAACGCCCUGCUUGCUGGGUACUCGAUUGGCCAACGGGUGCGUAACACUUUGGUGAUCUGCCCUGCACUUUGGGAUAAGCCUGUGAAACUGGGUCUUAUACCGUAUAGCAGCCAUUCUUAGUGUGAUGGUUGGAAAGUUUUUUAGGUGUUGGCUGAGCUCGCGGCCUAUUAGCUUUUUGGUGGGGUAAUGGCCUACCAAGGCGCCGACGGGUAGCCGGCCAGAGAGGGUGGACGGCGACAUAGGGAAAGAGAGACGGCGCAGACGCGGACGGGAGGCAGCAGAGGGGAAGAAUGAACAAAGGGCGCAAAGCAGAUGCAGCGAGGCCGCGUGGGGGAUGACGGACUUCGGGUUGUAAAAGCCUUACGCGAGGGACGAAGCUUUUAGUGACGGUACCUAGAGAAGAAGCACCGGCUAACUACGUG
rnacentral:rRNA from 1 species